GACGAACGCUGGCGGCGUGCCUAAUACAUGCAAGUAGAACGCUGAAGGAGGAGCUUGCUUCUCUGGAUGAGUUGCGAACGGGUGAGUAACGCGUAGGUAACCUGCCUGGUAGCGGGGGAUAACUAUUGGAAACGAUAGCUAAUACCGCAUAAGAGUAGAUGUUGCAUGACAUUUGCUUAAAAGGUGCAAUUGCAUCACUACCAGAUGGACCUGCGUUGUAUUAGCUAGUUGGUGAGGUAACGGCUCACCAAGGCAACGAUACAUAGCCGACCUGAGAGGGUGAUCGGCCACACUGGGACUGAGACACGGCCCAGACUCCUACGGGAGGCAGCAGUAGGGAAUCUUCGGCAAUGGACGGAAGUCUGACCGAGCAACGCCGCGUGAGUGAAGAAGGUCUUCGGAUCGUAAAGCUCUGUUGUAAGAGAAGAACGAGUGUGAGAGUGGAAAGUUCACACUGUGACGGUAUCUUACCAGAAAGGGACGGCUAACUACGUG
rnacentral:rRNA from 1 species